rnacentral:rRNA from 1 species
CCGUCGGUACUGCGGAGGACAUUA